rnacentral:rRNA from 1 species
CUACGGGGGGCAGCAGUGGGGAAUAUUGCACAAUGGGCGCAAGCCUGAUGCAGCCAUGCCGCGUGUAUGAGGAAGGCCUUCGGGUUGUAAAGUACUUUCAGCGGGGAGGAAGGGAGUAAAGUUAAUACCUUUGCUCAUUGACGUUACCCGCAGAAGAAGCACCGGCUAACUCCGUGCCAGCAGCCGCGGUAAUACGGAGGGUGCAAGCGUUAAUCGGAAUUACUGGGCGUAAAGCGCACGCAGGCGGUUUGUUAAGUCAGAUGUGAAAUCCCCGGGCUCAACCUGGGAACUGCAUCUGAUACUGGCAAGCUUGAGUCUCGUAGAGGGGGGUAGAAUUCCAGGUGUAGCGGUGAAAUGCGUAGAGAUCUGGAGGAAUACCGGUGGCGAAGGCGGCCCCCUGGACGAAGACUGACGCUCAGGUGCGAAAACGUGGGGAGCAAACAGGAUUAGAUACCCCCGUAGUC